rnacentral:rRNA from 1 species
AGAGUUUGAUCAUGGCUCAGAAUCAACGCUGGCGGCGCGCCUAACACAUGCAAGUCGAACGAGAAAGUGGAGCAAUCCAUGAGUACAGUGGCGUACGGGUGAGUAACACGUGGGUAAUCUACCUUUUAGUGGGGAAUAACCAGGGGAAACUCUGGCUAAUACCGCAUAAGCCUGAGAAGGGAAAGCAGCAAUGCGCUGAAAGAGGAGCCCGCGGCCGAUUAGCUAGUUGGUGAGGUAAGAGCCCACCAAGGCAGAGAUCGGUAGCCGGCCUGAGAGGGCACACGGCCACACUGGCACUGAAACACGGGCCAGACUCCUACGGGAGGCAGCAGUGGGGAAUCUUGCACAAUGGGGGAAACCCUGAUGCAGCGACGCCGCGUGAGCGAUGAAGCCCUUCGGGGUGUAAAGCUCUUUCGUCAGGGACGAUAAUGACGGUACCUGGAGAAGCAGCUGCGGCUAACUACGUGCCAGCAGCCGCGGUAAUACGUAGGCAGCAAGCGUUGUUCGGAGUUACUGGGCGUAAAGGGUGUGUAGGCGGUUCUUUAAGUUUGGUGUGAAAUCUCCCGGCUCAACUGGGAGGGUGCGCCGAAUACUGAGGGACUAGAGUACGGGAGAGGAAAGUGGUAUUCCUGGUGUAGCGGUGAAAUGCGUAGAUAUCAGGAGGAACACCGGUGGUGUAGACGGCUUUCUGGACCGACACUGACGCUGAGACACGAAAGCGUGGGUAGCAAACAGGAUUAGAUACCCUAGUAGUCC